rnacentral:rRNA from 1 species
AAUCCAUAGGUUAAUGAGGCGAACCGGGGGAACUGAAACAUCUAAGUACCCCGAGGAAAAGAAAUCAACCGAGAUUCCCCCAGUAGCGGCGAGCGAACGGGGAGGAGCCCAGAGCCUGAAUCAGCAUGUGUGUUAGUGGAAGCGUCUGGAAAGGCGCGCGAUACAGGGUGACAGCCCCGUACACAAAAGCGCAUGUGCUGUGAGCUCGAUGAGUAGGGCGGGACACGUGGUAUCCUGUCUGAAUAUGGGGGGACCAUCCUCCAAGGCUAAAUACUCCUGACUGACCGAUAGUGAACCAGUACCGUGAGGGAAAGGCGAAAAGAACCCCGGCGAGGGGAGUGAAAAAGAACCUGAAACCGUGUACGUACAAGCAGUGGGAGCACCCUUCGGGGUGUGACUGCGUACCUUUUGUAUAAUGGGUCAGCGACUUAUAUUCUGUAGCAAGGUUAACCGAAUAGGGGAGCCGGAGGGAAACCGAGUCUUAAUUGGGCGUUAAGUUGCAGGGUAUAGACCCGAAACCCGGUGAUCUAGCCAUGGGCAGGUUGAAGGUUGGGUAACACUAACUGGAGGACCGAACCGACUAAUGUUGAAAAAUUAGCGGAUGACCUGUGGCUGGGGGUGAAAGGCCAAUCAAACCGGGAGAUAGCUGGUUCUCCCCGAAAGCUAUUUAGGUAGCGCCUCGUGAAUUCAUCUCCGGGGGUAGAGCACUGUUUCGGCUAGGGGGCCAUCCCGGCUUACCAACCCGAUGCAAACUGCGAAUACCGGAGAAUGUUAUCACGGGAGACACACGGCGGGUGCUAACGUCCGUCGUGAAGAGGGAAACAACCCAGACCGCCAGCUAAGGUCCCAAAGUCAUGGUUAAGUGGGAAACGAUGUGGGAAGGCCCAGACAGCCAGGAUGUUGGCUUAGAAGCAGCCAUCAUUUAAAGAAAGCGUAAUAGCUCACUGGUCGAGUCGGCCUGCGCGGAAGAUGUAACGGGGCUAAACCAUGCACCGAAGCUGCGGCAGCGAACGUAUCACCCAAGACAACUUUGCGGAGUUGACGAUUGACGGAGCGAAGCGACGUCAAAGCGUUCAUUAAAGUCGAGUUGGCUUAGGGAUACGUUCGUUGGGUAGGGGAGCGUUCUGUAAGCCUGUGAAGGUGUGCUGUGAGGC